rnacentral:misc_RNA from 1 species
UUUCCGUAGGUGAACCUGCGGAAGGAUCAUUAUUGUACAACUGAUGUGCGAGGGUUGUCGCUGACCCGAAAGGUCGUUCAGGCCAGUGUUCCUUCACACACAUUUAUCUUACCCCUCAGUGCUCUACCGCGUGGGUUCUCCCUUGGUUCGUUUGGUGGGAGGCUUAGGUUUUACUACAUACAUUAUAUGCAUUGCAACAAGUAAUCUCUUUUUUUGCGUCUCUGCAAAGAACACAACUUACAACAAGGGAUCUCUUGGCAAUCCCAUCGACGAAGAACA